GUGAGGAAUAUUGGUCAAUGGGCGCAAGCCUGAACCAGCCAUGCCGCGUGCAGGAAGACGGUCCUAUGGAUUGUAAACUGCUUUUAUUUGGGAAUAAACUCCGGUACGUGUACCGGCCUGAAGGUACCAAAUGAAUAAGCACCGGCUAACUCCGUGCCAGCAGCCGCGGUAAUACGGAGGGUGCAAGCGUUAUCCGGAAUCAUUGGGUUUAAAGGGUCCGCAGGCGGUCUUAUAAGUCAGUGGUGAAAGCCUACAGCUCAACUGUAGAACUGCCAUUGAUACUGUAGGACUUGAAUUCGAUCGAAGUGGGCGGAAUGUGACAUGUAGCGGUGAAAUGCUUAGAUAUGACAUAGAACACCUAUUGCGAAGGCAGCUUACUACGCAUAUAUUGACGCUGAGGCACGAAAGCGUGGGGAUCAAACAGGAUUAGAAACCCGGGUAGUCC
rnacentral:rRNA from 1 species